rnacentral:rRNA from 1 species
CAGUAGCCACGGUAAUACGAAGGGUGCAAGCGUUAAUCGGAAUUACUGGGCGUAAAGCGUGCGUAGGCGGUGAGUUAAGUCUGCUGUGAAAUCCCCGGGCUCAACCUGGGAAUGGCAGUGGAUACUGGCUCGCUAGAGUGUGUCAGAGGAUGGUGGAAUUCCCGGUGUAGCGGUGAAAUGCGUAGAGAUCGGGAGGAACAUCAGUGGCGAAGGCGGCCAUCUGGGACAACACUGACGCUGAGGCACGAAAGCGUGGGGAGCAAACAGGAUUAGAUACCCCAGUAGUCCCUGUCUCUUAUAC